rnacentral:rRNA from 1 species
UACGAAGGGGGCUAGCGUUGCUCGGAAUCACUGGGCGUAAAGCGCACGUAGGCGGAUCUUUUAAGUCAGGGGUGAAAUCCUGGAGCUCAACUCCAGAACUGCCUUUGAUACUGGCAAUCUCGAGUCCGGGAGAGGUGAGUGGAACUGCGAGUGUAGAGGUGAAAUUCGUAGAUAUUCGCAAGAACACCAGUGGCGAAGGCGGCUCACUGGCCCGGUACUGACGCUGAGGUGCGAAAAGCGUGGGGGAGCAA